UGCCUUCACUACUCUUGUAUUCAGUUAUCAUCAAAUUAUGGCAGUGACAGAUUGUAAAGGUGUUUGCAGUUGUAUUUGCAAGAUUACGGCUUAUUUCUGCUACAAAUGCAUGCUAGGGAUUGCCUGCAGAACUGCUUGUGUAGCAAAGAUGGUUCUCAGGAACCAAGCAUUUUUUAAUUUUCUCAGUCUUUGUUUUGGUCUCUGUAUUUCUCUGUUUUCAGAGUUCAAAUGUUGUUCAAGAUAGCAGUAAUCCUUACUCCUUGGAAGGGAUAGAUGGCUAGGAAUUUUAGCAAAACCUUAGUGUAAGUACAGGUACAUUAUAUAAGAUGAACAGACUUGACAAAAUAUAAUCUCUAAAUUAUAUGCGUGGUGAAGGGACUCUGUUUUGCGAUGGCGGCGUGGGGAAGCCCAACGUACAGAGGAUACGAAUAUGUCCACCAGUACGUUUGGUUGUUGAGAUUUUUACCGGUCGUCAUCUAUAUUUAGAGAGUUUGUUGGAUACACCCAUCCAUUUGGAACUGUUUAUCUUUUUACAGCCCUCUAAACUAUAAAUUUAGCUAGGAUUUAUACUUAGACUGUUGGAGUUGCUCUAAAUAAUCAGGUUCGUUUCACUCGCUAGGCCUUGUUGUCAGUUGUGGUCGUUGUGCUAGUGGUGCUCUUGCAGCAACAACCCAUCCUCCUUAUCGGCAUAUUUCUAUGCCUCUUGGCCUUGAGUGUCUGCAAGUUGAUGUGGUUGUAGCAUUUCACCAUGAGGAAGGUGAUCCUGUAGGCGAAGAGGUUGAUGAGUGGGAUCGGAAGUUGACAACACGGAGGAUGUGGACGAGUGUGACGACAAUGGAGGAGCGAGGCGUUGUCCAUAUGGGUGGAUAUCGAGCUAGCUCGGCUUGUUUUGACUCGGCUUGUUAUGGCUCGAUAAUGUAACAGCUAGCUCGUCUCAUCUCGUUAUAGUAACAACUAGGAAGUGCGCUCGGCUCGGCUCGUAGCACAGCUCGAGCCAGCUCGUUGGACUCGCGAGCCUGGUAAAAAAACAGGACAUGAGCACUAGCAAGUAUGCUGCUUGCUGCUACAAGUAGUGGAUUAUAUAAUUUUAACUGUACAAAGUACAAAUUGUCUGCCCAAAGGCACAAAUGGAUGGUACAAACUACAACCAAUAUUUGAAAAAUUCAACAUCAAAACUGCUUUCAAUAUGCAACAACCAAAAUCAAAUUGAAGUAAACUGCAACUCUCAAUCGCACUUCACACACAAGCAAUGAAACAAAGCCACAUUGCCACAGCAUGACAGAUUGACAGCAAGCAAGCAAACUAAAAUCUUCUGCAGGCCAACAACAUCACAGCAACAGGCAAAUAGGCUGGGCAAGCACACUGCCAUAGCAUGCCACUACAGGCCAACUGGCCAACAACAUAACAGCAACAGCAAAUAGGCAAGGCAAAUAGGCUGAGCGACGACCGGUGAGCACCUGAGGCCUGAGCGAGCGAGCACCUGAUGGUCCUGAGCCUGAGCGGUGGCCGGUGGGCAGCUGGGUGCUGGGCGGUGGCCGUGACUGCUAGCCGCUAGGGUUUGCAGUGGCGGGCUGGCGUGGCGGCUGCUGUUUGUGCUUGAGAGUUGCGACUUGGGGAGAACUGAGCGUGAGAAUAUUUCCGGAUUUCCUCAUUUCCUAAUUCCUUAAUGGGCUUGGAAGUUGCCGAGUUGGGCCGCCGGACGGCUAAGUGCUGGACCGUUGGCCGUUGUUGUGCAUGUGCCCUGUGUCGGACCACAAGCAGACAUGCUCACAUGCUAAUGGUGUCUGGCUCGUUUGGCUCGCGAGUCAGCUCGUUAUAACACCGAGCUAAAGUGUUGGCUCAGCUCGCUACAAAAUUAAAACAAGUCGAGUCGAGCCGAGCCACUAGCGAGCCGAGUCGAGCGAGUUAUUGAGACACGAGUAUUUCGUCCAGCCCUAGUUGUGCACUUGUAGCCUGGCCCAUGUGUCACCCAUGCUGCCAUUAAUUUCUGCCACCUCUAGGAUUUGUCUCACAUGGCCGCAGGGGUGCACAAAGGUUAUUUUGGGGGUGCUUGGUAGUGGUAGAGCUCCAUGCAGCUCCAGAUCCUAAAAAACUUAUCCACUCCCAAUUUUUUCAGCCAAAUGUCCCAGCUUUGCGAACUCCAGAUCCACCAAAAACUUGGAUCUAGCUCACAGAUCCACCAAAUCAAUGGAGCACCUCAAGGGGUGCUCUGAGAACUUGUGGAUUUCUGAAGUUGGUCAAAAUUAUCCACCUGCCACUGAUUAUGCACCCACAUAUACCAGUCCAUUCGUUCUAUUCUUGGCAAAAGGUCUGCGUGAGAGAGGUGGUGCUGCAGGGUUUGCACCUAGUCCCGCGCCUCACGCCACAAGCCCAGGAGGAACUAGAAGAUGUGCUAACAAUAGUAAACAACACAAGCCUCGCCGAUCGACCAGAUACCAGACAUUGCUUCCUUGCGGAUCACACUGGUAAUUUUCAGACCUCUACUCUCUACAACCUGCUUAAAGGGUCCUUGGGGCAUGGUGAUGUUAGCACCACUUUCAUCUGGGGUAACAAUGCCCCCCCGCGGGCACAAUUCUUCUGUUGGCUGCUUAUGCAAGGAAAAAUUCAGUGCAAAUGGAACCUGAAGAAAAAAGGGAUUGUGGAUGAUGACUGUUGUGAAAUAUGUAACCAAGACAGUGAAACUCCUUCGCACAUCAUCUUCCACUGCCCGUUUGCACGCCAAUUUUGGAGCUCCAUCGGAUUCUCUGUCGCUGAUGAUCUGGGCACCCAGGACCUGCCAAACAUCAGUCGCCCUGAUCGCCUUCCGGGUGCAGAAUUCAACUCCUUUGUCCUCCUCUGCUGCUGGCAAUUGUGGAAACGCAGAAAUGGUGUCGUCUUCCGUCAGGAUCAUGCCACUCUUGCGGCCACUUUGCAUUCAUGCGCUUCUGAAGCAAAAGCUUGGGCGUACAGGCACAACAGGAAAGAGGCACAAGUAUUAGGUGCUUGGUUGUUGGUGUUCUCUAAUCCUAUUAUGUAAUCUCAUCAUUGCUUCGCCCUCCCCCUGUAACUAUGCUAGCUACAAUGCUGCUAGCUUGCUGUAAACUCUAGCCGCUUUGGGCAAAAAGACCUGAAUGAAAAUCAGGUGGGGAUCCUCUCCCCCCCGGUGACAGUCUAAAAAAACAUGCCCCACCCCCACCGCGGCGUAUCCAUCCCGGUUUUGUGCGGGGAUGACUCUAGGUAGGAGAUGAGCUUGACAUGUGGGUCCAGGGAGGAAGAGCUCUCGCUCAUGGGCUCUAAUUGGCUGGAUGUUGGGCCAGCCCAGAAGAUUCAGUGUGGAGCUGUGCCAAAGCUCUACUCCACAGUGGAUUUUGGUGGUUCAGAUCUGUUUUUUAGAGCUGGAGCUUUGCCAAACAGCACCUUUUUGUGUGUGUUGGAGGGGGUGGGCAGUUAGCUCUUCUGUCUAUUUUCCAAACAUGUUUUUUCUUUUCUUGAACUCAAUUGUUAAUGAGUUAAUCCUGUUUCUUCUAACAGUAACUUUAAUCAAAAAAGGUGGCUGCAAAAUCAGAGUUGAAAAAAGAGAAGAAAAAAACACCAUCGAACUCCUAAAUAGGGGUCAAAUCACCUGAGUACCUGACCAUUGUCCCUUUUAUUUUUUUAAUGUUUUAGUGCAAGUAUCAUGUUUGAAGGACUUGCAUCUAAAGCACGGCCUUUCAGCUGCAUUCUUUAUCCAUGUGCUGUGUUUCCAUCUUUGAAGGUGUUGUUUCUUUUCACUUGGUUGCACUUGAUUUACAUGGAUUGCAUUCGGUAAGUUGCAUCUUCUUAGUUCCAAAUGAUUGUAUUAUCAUGUGGGUUGCAUUUAUUUUCACGGGUUCAUUUGCGUGCAAAAUGCAGAGCUAUAUGUUGCAUUUCAGCUAGCUACAGUAACGGAAAUUAUGGUAGCAUUGUUAGAGGUGGUGUUUCAUUUUCCCUUUUAUUUGAGUGUUUUUUUUCCAUGAUGUAACUUGCUUACUGUGCAGAUUGUAUUGUGUUUUCCAACCUUCCUGAUGAUG